rnacentral:tRNA from 1 species
CUUAAUGUGGCAGAUUAAUGCAAUGAAUUUAAGCUUCAUGCAAGAAAAUACAUUUUCCAUUAAGA